rnacentral:rRNA from 1 species
CAAGGAGUCUAACAUGUGUGCGAGUCAUUGGGCGCACUAAACCCAAAGGCGAAAUGAAAGUGACAGAAAGGGGAAGGGCCCCUCCUGCCGCAAGGUAGGAACCCUUCCCCUGGGGCUGAUCCCUGGCAGGUGGUUGACCAGUGGGGUGUCUGAGUUGGGCGGGUGUCGGUGAGGCAUUUUCCCGGUGCUCUGUCAGUCUCAGGCUUACACCCUCUGAUCUCCACCAGGCCCACGCCCGAUUUGUAUAUGCAAGGGGGGGCGCAAGCCCGGGACUUGCCACCAGUGCACCUCUCUGCGUCCGCGACUGGCCUCUCGGGGCCUUUCCGCGUGGCUGAGUUGGUAGCCGGCAAGUACCUUGAGCAGACAUGUUGGGACCCGAAAGAUGGUGAACUAUGCUUGGCCAGGACGAAGCCAGAGGAAACUCUGGUGGAGGUCCGCCGCGAUUCUGACGUGCAAAUCGAUCGUCGGAGCUGAGUAUAGGGGCGAAAGACUAAUCGAACCAUCUAGUAGCUGGUUCCCUCCGAAGUUUCCCUCAGGAUAGCUGGUACUCGAGGGUAAUUUCAUCCGGUAAAGCGAAUGAUUAGAGGUCUUGGGGACGAAACGUCCUCAACCUAUUCUCAAACUUUAAAUGGGUGAGAUGCCGAGCUUGCUUGCAUUUGAUCGUGAAGCUCUGGCGACUAAUAUGAGUACCUAGUGGGCCACUUUUGGUAAG